GUCUGGGUGGCUCAGUGAGUUGAGUGUCCGACUUCAGCUCGGGUCAUGAUCUCAUGGUUCGUGGGUUCGAGCCCCGCAUCGGGCU
rnacentral:tRNA from 1 species